rnacentral:misc_RNA from 1 species
UAGAGAGAGAGAGGUACUGUCGCAGCCAAUGCACGUCCUCGUUCAUCUACACACACACACCUGUGCACCUUUAUUGUAGGCCCUCGAGAGAGGAUCUAUGUCAUUUCUAUAUAACUCGUCCUUGUCGUAUGUCUAGAACGAAUGAUAAUUGGGAUAAUAUA